rnacentral:rRNA from 1 species
GUAAAGGGUGCGUAGGCGGCAAUUUAAGUUGGAUGUGAAAUACCCGGGCUUAACCUGGGGGGUGCAUUCAAAACUGGAUAGCUAGAGUACAGGAGAGGGAAGCGGAAUUCCUAGUGUAGCGGUGAAAUGCGUAGAUAUUAGGAGGAACACCGGUGGCGAAGGCGGCUUUCUGGACUGAAACUGACGCUGAGGCACGAAAGCGUGGGGAGCAAACAGGAUUAGAUACCCUGGUAGUCCACGCUGUAAACGAUGAAUACUAGGUGUAGGGGGUAUAGACUCCCUC